CACUCUAGAGAGACUGCCAGGGAUAACCUGGAGGAAGGUGGGGAUGACGUCAAAUCAUCAUGCCCCUUAUGCUUAGGGCUACACACGUGCUACAAUGGGUAGUACAGAGGGUUGCCAAGCCGUAAGGUGGAGCUAAUCCCUUAAAGCUACUCUCAGUUCGGAUUGUAGGCUGAAACUCGCCUACAUGAAGCUGGAGUUACUAGUAAUCGCAGAUCAGAAUGCUGCGGUGAAUGCGUUCCCGGGUCUUGUACACACCGCCCGUCACACCACGGGAGUUGGAGACGCCCGAAGCCGAUUAUCUAACCU
rnacentral:rRNA from 1 species